UGGUGGAGUGAUUUGUCUGGUUAAUUCCGUAACGAACGAGACCCCUGCCUGCUAAAUAGCUUGUCUAGUGAAUUUUCACUGGAUGAAGCUUCUUAGAGGGACGUGCAUUCUAUUAGAUGCAGGAAGAUAGGGGCAAUAACA
rnacentral:rRNA from 1 species